AUUCUUGGUCAUUUAGAGGAAGUAAAAGUCGUAACAAGGUUUCCGUAGGUGAACCUGCGGAAGGAUCAUUACAGAAAGUAAACGCGGAUCAAACCGCGAACUUCUAAACCUUUGACGAUUGACUCAUGUUGUCUCGGCGGGUUCUCCCGCCAGAGGAUACAUCAAAACUCCUGUUUUAACGGUGUUGUCUGAGCUACAAGCAACGAAUCAAAACUUUCAACAACGGAUCUCUUGGUUCUGGCAUCGAUGAAGAACGCAGCGAAAUGCGAUAAGUAGUGUGAAUUGCAGAAUUCAGUGAAUCAUCGAAUCUUUGAACGCACAUUGCGCCCCUUGGUAUCCCGAGGGGCAUGCCUGUUCGAGCGUCAUUUCACCACUCAAGCCUGGCUUGGUGUUGGGCGACGUCCCCUUUGGGGACGCGCCUCGAAACGCUCGGCGGCGUGGCACCGGCUUUAAGCGUAGCAGAAUCUUUCGCUUUGAAAGUCGGGGCCCCGUCUGCCGGAAGACCUACUCGCAAGGAUGA
rnacentral:rRNA from 1 species